UUAAAAGGAUCUUUGUUUAUAUUAUGUAAGAACACAGUUAACCUAUUGAUGUCAAUGUUGUAUAUAAAUGUAGAGAAAGUACAAUCAGCAAAAAAAUGUGUCUGUUCCUACAAGAGGGUGCUAUGUCCUUGAUGUGCUGUAUGUCAUGUUUUAUGAUUACAUUCUAGACAUAAUUUAUAGAAACAAAUUAGACUGCAGUUACAAGAACACAUGCAACAUAUUUGAUAGUGGGAGGCAGCAUAUGCAAAACAAAAGGACUGACCAAAUGAUCCUCUCCUAUGUAAAUUGCUGUAAACCAUAAGAGCAAAGAUUUUGUUUUUGUUAGAUUGAAUGUUGGGUCUUUUCCAAAUAUUGCUAGGAAACUACAGGCACAUUGAAAACUUUCACACAAGAUGGAAAUAUAAAUGAGCAGUAAGGUAGGAAAAAACUUUCAUCAAAUUUGUGAACUUACUUUAAAACAGACAUUAAUGAAAGGUUGUUUUUAAUAUACUUUUCUUGUAAUUGUAAUCUGCUUGCUUCCUGUUUAUAUUCCGUCAAAUGUUUUUGAAGUUGCAUUUUGUCGUGCAGUGAGGUAACAAAUUUUAAAUUUAAUUGUGAUGUAUGUAUUUCUUUCCCAAUUGUGAUGCAGACUGUUUCUAAACAGGGCACCUCAUUCACAGAAAAAAAGAGAGCAAAUUAUACAGAUGUGUUAAUUAUAAUAUGGGGCAUACUGUGGAUUGGAGGUAAAGCACUUACCACACAAAAAAAAUGGUAAUUGAGUCCUGGAGAUAAAAUGGCAGUGAAAUAUAUGUUGCAAUAAUAAAUCUAUCAACUAUUUGUAAAAACUCAUGCAUGUUUCAAAGUCAGAGCUAUGUCUUGAGGCCUUCCCGUAUCUUAUACAACAACUCUCUUGCUUUUUAGUGAGUCAGCUGUUACCAAUGAUGGCUGGAUUAUUUAGUUAGUGGGAAUACAAGUGUGUAACAAUUUAUCCAAACAAAAUGUAAAAAAUGUUCUGUGAAUAUUGUUAUAUGCCAUCAAACUAAAUAUAGUGACAUUUCUUGCCAAGGUAACAUUGAAGCCUAGGCUCAGAACUCAAUGUUUGAAUGGAUUUGUCUCUUGUGACUGUAUGUUAGUUCCAUCUUGGACACAAGAAGUGAUCUUUAUUUUUGCUGCCGAACAUGCCUAUUCCAUUUUGAAGUGGAUGUAUGUCAUAUUAUGUAAAGAUAUUUCCCAGAAUUAUGAAAGAAUAUUACUUUUAUCCUCAUUGCUUAUUCGCAGUCCCAAUUAUAGUCAGCUACUGCAACAGAAUGCAUUCUCCUUCUAGUUAAACUUGCACAGAAAUUUUAGUAGUCUGUUUUGCAUGUCUGCUCCUCACUAUCCAAUUAAAUCAGACUAUAAAUCUUUAAGCAAGUUCCAUGCAUCAGUUGGUUUUAAACAAUCCAUUUCAUGUGCUGAAUGUUGAUCUUUCUGUAUUUGGUACCAACACGUUAUUCGUCACUUCCUCUUUCCCUCAUGAAAUGUUUCACUUUGAUUUAUUUUCAAUAUAAUAAUCAUGCUGUGUGGUUGUCAUUUUUGCUAAGCAUCGAGUGGCCGAGUGGUUCUAGGUGCUACAGUCUGGAACCGCGCGACCGCGAUGGUUGCAGGUUCGAAUCCUGCCUCAGGCAUGGAUGUGUGUGAUGUCCUUAGGUUGGUUAGGUGUAAGUAAUUCUAAGUUCUAGGGGACUGAUGACCUCAGAAAUUAAGUCCCAUAGUGCUCAGAGCUGUUUGAACCAUUUUUGCUAAGCAUUAACAAAGUUUUUUGUACAACAUCCUCAGGUGCUUUAAAAAGCAGCUCAUUGUGCGACAAUUUUUUUUUUAAAUAUUUAUUAGUUGUGCACCAUCUGCACAAAAUAAGUUGUUCCCAAGAAUGCUGAAGCAUCACUUUCUGAAUCAUUAUUUCGUAUUUCUUUACUAUGUAUAUUCUCACUCCAGACUUUUAUCUUAUGGGGGUUAAUUAUGAGACUGAAUGUGUCCUGGAGGAAAGCUUUGGCUAAUUGAUUAUGAUUCAUAUUUGUUAUUACAGAAGUUUUUCUUUUGUACCAAAUGUUCGGUACUCAGUCGUAUCACACAUUCAAACUGUUUUUCGGUUUUCGUGUGUUCCAUAUAAAUAUAUGUGUUUAGUUCCUAAAUUUGAGUUUGAGAUGAUAAAUGUGCUAAAAUAAAAUGUAGUCAACCACUUUCACGAACUGCAAACAUGAAGAGAUAAAGGGUUUCACUGGUAACAAAUACAGCGCUCAUUAAUCAAAUUCUGAUGUGUGCCAUGCAAAGAGUGAUAUGAGUAAAGCGAAGUGCUGUACAGAGGAAAGUGAACAGUGGAAUAUGUCACCCAAACGUUUAUGUGCUUAUCCACUGCUAAACUCUUCCUCUGCGUGGGGAAAGUUCUGUUGUACAUGCCAAAAUAAAAAGUGGCUUUCUAAUUUUUUUUAUUUAUUUAUUUAUUUAUUUUUGUUCUGUUUCAUUCACCAGGUUAUUUUGUUCCAUUUGUUACUAUUCUAAUACAAGACUUUUAUGGAUAAUUAAAACAAAAAGUGUUGCUUCAGUUACAUAAUGCAAAUAAGCUUUAAAUGUGCAUGAAGACUUUUGGAAUACAUACUACAUAUAUGUAAACUGCAAGUGAAAUAUUCAGUAUUUGUAUAACAUUUUGAUACUUCUUGGAGCUCAUUAGCAAAAGAAAAAAAAUGGACUUUUAGUAAUAUGCAGUGCAUGUGUUAGUCAUAUUCAUAAUUUUUUUAUGAGCCUAGAUUAGACUACUGUUCAAAUGAUUCCUGAAGGGGCAUUUGUUACUGGCAAAUAACCUUUUCACAUUUUAUAGGAGACAAAAAUGACUGUUACAUACAUAGUUGAUUGCUUCCUUGAUCUUUUCCUGAGCCAUUGGAGAAUCAGAGAUGAUGGAUGCUUCAUUACAGGAGACAAAAUGUGCUUCAACUAAGAAUCAAGAGGGCAACACUUUCUCACAAGUUGUGUGCAACAUCAGACGACAUGCACCUGCAUUGUAUGUUUUAAUGAUGCCAUUUUCUGGAUGAGCGAAUUGCAGCGGAAGUAGUAAAGAGCAGGGAGGUGCAGAUUCUCCGACCUUCAGUGAGGAUGCCUACAUAAUUCCACAAAUAAUAGUUACUUGCCAUGGUGGUAUUAUUGUUAAUGUUAGAAAAUUUUCCAGUGAAAAUUACUGUGUUGCUGUCAUUUUAAACUGCUGUAUAAGACAAUAAAAUAAAUGGCAGUAAGAAAUUAAA